rnacentral:rRNA from 1 species
GAUGAACGCUGGCGGCGUGCUUAACACAUGCAAGUCGAACGAAGCACUUUAUUUGAUUUCCUUCGGGACUGAUUAUUUUGUGACUGAGUGGCGGACGGGUGAGUAACGCGUGGGUAACCUGCCUUGUACAGGGGGAUAACAGUUGGAAACGGCUGCUAAUACCGCAUAAGCGCACAGCAUCGCAUGAUGCAGUGUGAAAAACUCCGGUGGUAUAAGUUGGACCCGCGUUGGAUUAGCUAGUUGGUGAGGUAACGGCCCACCAAGGCGACGAUCCAUAGCCGACCUGAGAGGGUGACCGGCCACAUUGGGACUGAGACACGGCCCAAACUCCUACGGGAGGCAGCAGUGGGGAAUAUUGCACAAUGGGCGAAAGCCUGAUGCAGCGACGCCGCGUGAGCGAAGAAGUAUUUCGGUAUGUAAAGCUCUAUCAGCAGGGAAGAUAAUGACGGUACCUGACUAAGAAGCACCGGCUAAAUACGUG